GAGUUUGAUCCUGGCUCAGAUUGAACGCUGGCGGCAUGCCUUACACAUGCAAGUCGAACGGCAGCACGGGAGCUUGCUCCUGGUGGCGAGUGGCGAACGGGUGAGUAAUGCAUCGGAACGUAUCCUGGAGUGGGGGAUAACGUAGCGAAAGUUACGCUAAUACCGCAUAUUCUGUGAGCAGGAAAGCGGGGGACCUUCGGGCCUCGCGCUCUUGGAGCGGCCGAUGUCGGAUUAGCUAGUUGGUGAGGUAAAGGCUCACCAAGGCGACGAUCCGUAGCAGGUCUGAGAGGAUGAUCUGCCACACUGGAACUGAGACACGGUCCAGACUCCUACGGGAGGCAGCAGUGGGGAAUUUUGGACAAUGGGGGCAACCCUGAUCCAGCCAUGCCGCGUGAGUGAAGAAGGCCUGG
rnacentral:rRNA from 8 species